rnacentral:rRNA from 1 species
GGCGAAAGGGUGAGUAACACGUGAGCAACCUGCUCCGGAUCCGGAAUAAGUCCAGGGAAACUUGGUCUAAAACCGGAUGAAGACAUUGGGCCGCAUGGUCUGGUGUUAAAAUAGUUUAUAGUCCGGAGAGGGCUCGCGGCCCAUUAGCUUGUUGCGGGGUAAUGGCCCACCAAGGCUACGACGGUAGGUGGUCUGAGAGGAUGGUCACCCACACUGGGACUGAGACACUGCCCAGACUCCUACGGGAGGCUGCAGUCGAGAAUCUUCCGCAAUGGGCGCAAGCCUUAGACGGAGCGAUGCCGCGUGAGGGAUGAAGGCUUUCGGGUUGUAAACCUCUGUCAUCCGGGACGAAAACAAUGACGGUACCGGAAAAGGAAGCCACGGCUAACCACGUGCCAGCAGCGGC